rnacentral:rRNA from 1 species
ACCCACGAUAAAUCUUACCACUUCUUGUAUCUUGGACAGGUGUUGCAUGGCUGUCUUUAGUUCGUGUUGUGAAAUGUUUGGUUCAUUCCGUCAACGAACGUAAUCCUUGUCUUUAGUUGAAUUCCUUAAAGAUAUUUCUUUCUAGAUGAGAGAAGAACGGGGGUGAAGACAAGUCCUCAUGACCCUUAUGAAGUGGGCUACAGACGUGCCACAAAGAUUUCUACAAUAGGUUGCAACAAUUUCAAAGUUUGAGCGAAUCCCUGAAAAGA